UACGUAGGGGGGCAAGCGUUGUCCGGAAUCAUUGGGCGUAAAGCGCGUGUAGGCGGCCCGAUAAGUCCGCUGUGAAAGUCCAGGGCUCAACCCUGGGAUGCCGGUGGAUACUGUCGGGCUCGAGUCCGGAAGAGGAGUGUGGAAUUCCGUGGUGUAGCGGUGAAAUGCGCAGAUAUCGGGAGGAACACCGGUGGCGAAGGCGGUUCUCUGGGCCUUACCUGACGCUGAGGAGCGAAAGCGUGGGGAGCGAACAGGG
rnacentral:rRNA from 1 species